AAAUUGAAGAGUUUGAUCAUGGCUCAGAUUGAACGCUGGCGGCAGGCCUAACACAUGCAAGUCGAGCGGAAACGAGUURUCWGAACCUUCGGGGGACGAUAACGGCGUCGAGCGGCGGACGGGUGAGUAAUGCCUAGGAAAUUGCCCUGAUGUGGGGGAUAACCAUUGGAAACGAUGGCUAAUACCGCAUGAUGCCUACGGGCCAAAGAGGGGGACCUUCGGGCCUCUCGC
rnacentral:rRNA from 1 species